GAACCAGGAGACCAGCGCAAGACGGCGCAGUGUGCUUUCCUGCCCACGGAGCUAAGCAGCUACAGUGGGUCCCUGGGUGGCGUAGGUGGUUUUUGAUUGACUCCUAUCCUAAAAGUUGGUGGUUUGAACCCACCCAGAGGUGCCACAGAAGAAAGAUCUGGUGAUCUGCUUCCUCGUGUCUGCCAUGACCUGUGUGUGCGGUUCACCCACUAUGCUGUUUGCGGAGCCAGCAUGGUGUAUAAGGAGGUGAUGGUGUGAUGGUGAGAAUCAUCUUGUGCCAUGUCACCUUACAAGAGAUAAAAGGAAAGAGAAGCAAGCAGAGAAGGUGGACCUCAUACCACCAAGAAAGCAGUGCCAGGAGCAGAACUCUUCCUUUGGACCCGGGGGCCCUGCACGGAGAAACUCCCAGUCCAGGGUAAAAUUGAUGAGA